UACAGAGGUGGCAAGCGUUGUUCGGAAUUACUGGGCGUAAAGGGCGCGUAGGCGGCCAUCUAAGUCAGACGUGAAAUCCCCCGGCUUAACCUGGGAACUGCGUCUGAUACUGGAAGGCUUGAGUAUGGGAGAGGGAUGUAGAAUUCCAGGUGUAGCGGUGAAAUGCGUAGAUAUCAUUUGGAACGCCAAUGGUGAAAACAGGUAGCUGGGAGUGUGCUGACGCUGAGACACGAAAGCCAGGGGAGCAAACGGG
rnacentral:rRNA from 1 species